GACGAACGCUGGCGGCGUGCUUAACACAUGCAAGUCGAACGAUGAAGCCGGAGCUUGCUCUGGUGAAUUAGUGGCGAACGGGUGAGUAACACGUGAGUAACCUGCCCUUGACUCUGGGAUAACUGCGGGAAACUGUAGCUAAUACCGGAUACGACCCUCGGAGGCAUCUCCUGGGGGUGGAAAGAAUUUCGGUCAAGGAUGAGCUCGCGGCCUAUCAGCUAGUUGGUGAGGUAAUGGCUCAACAAGGCGACGACGGGUACCCGGCCUGAGCGGGUGACCGGCCCCACUGGAACUGAGACACGGUCCAGACUCCUACGGGAGGCAGCAGUGGGGAAUAUUGCACAAUGGGCGAAAGCCUGAUGCAGCAACGCCGCGUGAGGGAUGAAGGCCUUCGGGUUGUAAACCUCUUUUAGCAGGGAAGAAGCGAAAGUGACGGUACCUGCAGAAAAAGCACCGGCUAACUACGUGCCAGCAGCCGCCGUAA
rnacentral:rRNA from 1 species